rnacentral:lncRNA from 1 species
AUUAAAACCUGGGGUUUUUAUUCCUGAGCCAAAUUUGUAAACAAGGCAUAGACCCAGACUUCUAAGCUGUCAUGGCAAAGGCUAGAAAAGGGGAAGAAACCAGUGCCAGCUCAAGUGAAGUGUAUGCUGUGAGUGUUGCUCUCAUUUCUAGCAGGGAGGACUUUGACAUUCUAAACCAGCAGCUCAGCCAUGGCCUCCAGAGGCCAAUGCAGCAGAAGCCCUUCAGAGAAAGAGGACCGUGGAAACUUGCCUUGUGUUGGUGGUACCUUCUGGUCAGGGCCCAGCAACAGUGGGACUGCAGGGAAGCUAUUGACGGCUACAGCAACAAGAUGGAUAAGCCCAUUGUUAUUGUCUGUACAGAAAGUAAAGGACAAGUGACAUGGACUUUCAGAAGAAAAGGCAGGAAUGUUGUUGGAUUUUUCUCCCCCAGAUUGGAUUCAGUGUGCAUUGUUUGGCUAAAGCUCAGUGAAGACUAUGCAGAAAACUUCUGUAUUCAUCCACCACCUUGCUGAAGCCUGGAUUUUCACAGCAGCCUGUUACUAGCACUUCUGAGGAGCAGGAUACUUAUUCAGAACGUUACUUUUGUGCUUGUCAAGCAUUUCCAGAAAAAAAUUCUUUGUGUUUUAAUAUUUCUUUUUCCUGGAGUUCAUGAAAAAAAU